AUACAUCAAUCCAUUCCAAUUGAUCAAAUAUGGAUGAAACCAACAUCAAUCAAUACCAAACAGAAAAGAAAUGAAGAUUACAAGUCAACAAUAAUUUUUUGGUAUUUUUUUGAAUUAAAAUAAAAUGCAAAUAAAUAAUAAACAAAUAAGGUCAAACCUCAAAUUCAAUUCAAAUCAACUUCAACAAGUCCAAUUAAACUCUCGUAGGUUCAACAUAGUCAAACAA
rnacentral:lncRNA from 1 species